rnacentral:rRNA from 1 species
GCUUGUGGCCAUACCACCCCGAACAUGCUUGUUCAGGGUCGGGCCUGGUUAGUACUGGGAUGGGAGACCGCCUGGGAAUACCGAAUGCCUUAAGCU